rnacentral:lncRNA from 1 species
GGGGUUGGGAGAAUCCAAGUGUCCGUGUAGACAUUCGUAGAUUUGCCAUUUCCUAUGAAUAUAUGUCUUUCAAGCCAUGGGAAGGAGGAGGUUAUGGAGAUGUUAAGAAAAGAGGUACCGUGGCAAUAUUUCCCUAACAAGACGCAUGAAAAGUAAAGGACCCUAGGAACGGAUUACUCUAGUGGUUUUGUUUGGAUAUGAACUCCGGAUGGAGAACUGAAUGGGUUGAAGGGUCACAUGAAGGUUGCGGAAGGCCUCCGAUAUUCCCGACUCCAAAUGGUGCUUGAUAUGACUCACAAGACCACCAAGUGAAGGAUCUCUCGUCGUUCCUUGAUAUGACUCACAAGUCCAACGAUUUGAGGAAGUGUUUACUUGGAUAUGACUCACCAAGAAACAAGACAAGUUCUUACAAAGAACAAAGAGUUUUAACUCAGAAAUUUCACACAAAAAUCGAUUGCUUUAUUCCUUAGAAGAGAUUACAUACUUAUAGAGUUUUGUAGUCAAACACAAUAAAUAGAUUUGUAGGAAAACAAGACAUAGAAAAGAUAAAUUUGACUAGAUCUGGUCAAGGCACGGAAAAUGGAGAAGACUAGUCAAGAUGACCGUUCGGCUCCUGUCCAGAUUCAUCCGAACUGGCUGUGUCCAAGGCGGAAAGGAUCAGUACAUGCGCGGGACGAUCAGCAAGGGCCGCGGGACGUUCUGCAAGGCCGCGGGAC